AUUGAACGCUGGCGGCAGGCUUAACACAUGCAAGUCGAGCGGGGAAGGGUAGCUUGCUACCUAACCUAGCGGCGGACGGGUGAGUAAUGCUUAGGAAUCUGCCAUUUAGUGGGGGACAACAUUCCGAAAGGAAUGCUAAUACCGCAUACGUCCUACGGGAGAAAGCAGGGGAUCUUCGGACCUUGCGCUAAAUGAUGAGCCUAAGUCGGAUUAGCUAGUUGGUGGGGUAAAGGCCUACCAAGGCGACGAUCUGUAGCGGGUCUGAGAGGAUGAUCCGCAACACUGGGACUGAGACACGGCCCAGACUCCUACGGGAGGCAGCAGUGGGGAAUAUUGGACAAUGGGCGGAAGCCUGAUCCAGCCAUGCCGCGUGUGUGAAGAAGGCCUUAUGGUUGUAAAGCACUUUAAGCGAGGAGGAGGCUACCUAGAUUAAUACUCUAGGAUAGUGGACGUUACUCGCAGAAUAAGCACCGGCUAACUCUGUGCCAGCCGCCGCGGUAAUAC
rnacentral:rRNA from 1 species